GGGGAUUUAGCUCAGCGGCAUAAGCACCUGCCUUGCAAGCAGGCAGUCGUGAGUUCGACCCCUAGUACCGA
rnacentral:tRNA from 1 species